rnacentral:misc_RNA from 1 species
UCCCGGUUGGCCCGGGCAGUCUCGCAUGAAAAAUACAACAUACGAUAAGGGUUGCGCUCGUUGCGGGACUUAACCCAACAUCUCACGACACGAGCUGACGACGGCCAUGCAGCACCUGUCACCGAAUUCCCGAAGGCACUCCUCUGUUUCCAGAAGAUUCUCGGGAUGUCAAACCUCGGUAAGGUUCUCCGCGUAUCGUCAAAUUAAACCACAUCAUCCACCGCUUGUGCGGGUCCCCGUCAAUUCCUUUGAGUUUUAGUCUUGCGACCGUACUUCCCAGGCGGCAUACUUAUCGCGUUAGCUUCGUCUCACAGGGGGUCGAUACCCCAUAAGACUAGUAUGCAUCGUUUACGGCGUGGACUAC